rnacentral:rRNA from 1 species
CACUAUCGUUAACUGAAUACAUAGGUUAACGAGGCGAACCGGGGGAACUGAAACAUCUAAGUACCCCGAGGAAAAGAAAUCAACCGAGAUUCCCCCAGUAGCGGCGAGCGAACGGGGAGCAGCCCAGAGUCUGAAUCAGCUUGUGUGUUAGUGGAACGGUCUGGAAAGUCCGACGGUACAGGGUGAUAGUCCCGUACACCAAAAUGCACAGGCUGUGAACUCGAAGAGUAGGGCGGGACACGUGGUAUCCUGUCUGAAUAUGGGGGGACCAUCCUCCAAGGCUAAAUACUCCUGACUGACCGAUAGUGAACCAGUACCGUGAGGGAAAGGCGAAAAGAACCCCGGCGAGGGGAGUGAAAAAGAACCUGAAACCGUGUACGUACAAGCAGUGGGAGCACCUUCGGGUGUGACUGCGUACCUUUUGUAUAAUGGGUCAGCGACUUAUAUUCUGUAGCAAGGUUAACCGUAUAGGGGAGCCGCAGGGAAACCGAGUCUUAACUGGGCGUUAAGUUGCAGGGUAUAGACCCGAAACCCGGUGAUCUAGCCAUGGGCAGGUUGAAGGUUGGGUAACACUAACUGGAGGACCGAACCGACUAAUGUUGAAAAAUUAGCGGAUGACUUGUGGCUGGGGGUGAAAGGCCAAUCAAACCGGGAGAUAGCUGGUUCUCCCCGAAAGCUAUUUAGGUAGCGCCUCGUGAACUCAUCUUCGGGGGUAGAGCACUGUUUCGGCUAGGGGGUCAUCCCGACUUACCAACCCGAUGCAAACUACGAAUACCGAAGAAUGUUAUCACGGGAGACACACGGCGGGUGCUAACGUCCGUCGUGAAGAGGGAAACAACCCAGACCGCCAGCUAAGGUCCCAAAGUCAUGGUUAAGUGGGAAACGAUGUGGGAAGGCACAGACAGCCAGGAUGUUGGCUUAGAAGCAGCCAUCAUUUAAAGAAAGCGUAAUAGCUCACUGGUCGAGUCGGCCUGCGCGGAAGAUGUAACGGGGCUAAACCAUGCACCGAAGCUGCGGCAGCGACACGAUGUGUUGUUGGGUAGGGGAGCGUUCUGUAAGCCUGCGAAGGUGACCUGUGAGGGUUGCUGGAGGUAUCAGAAGUGCGAAUGCUGACAUAAGUAACGAUAAAGCGGGUGAAAAGCCCGCUCGCCGGAAGACCAAGGGUUCCUGUCCAACGUUAAUCGGGGCAGGGUGAGUCGACCCCUAAGGCGAGGCCGAAAGGCGUAGUCGAUGGGAAACAGGUUAAUAUUCCUGUACUUGGUGUUACUGCGAAGGGGGGACGGAGAAGGCUAUGUUAGCCGGGCGACGGUUGUCCCGGUUUAAGCAUGUAGGCUGGUUAUCCAGGCAAAUCCGGAUAAUCAAGGCUGAGGUGUGAUGACGAGGCACUACGGUGCUGAAGUAACAAAUGCCCUGCUUCCAGGAAAAGCCUCUAAGCAUCAGGUAACAUCAAAUCGUACCCCAAACCGACACAGGUGGUCAGGUAGAGAAUACCAAGGCGCUUGAGAGAACUCGGGUGAAGGAACUAGGCAAAAUGGUGCCGUAACUUCGGGAGAAGGCACGCUGGUGUGUAGGUGAAGCCCCUGCGGGUGGAGCUGAGACCAGUCGAAGAUACCAGCUGGCUGCAACUGUUUAUUAAAAACACAGCACUGUGCAAACACGAAAGUGGACGUAUACGGUGUGACGCCUGCCCGGUGCCGGAAGGUUAAUUGAUGGGGUUAUCCGUAAGGAGAAGCUCUUGAUCGAAGCCCCGGUAAACGGCGGCCGUAACUAUAACGGUCCUAAGGUAGCGAAAUUCCUUGUCGGGUAAGUUCCGACCUGCACGAAUGGCGUAAUGAUGGCCAGGCUGUCUCCACCCGAGACUCAGUGAAAUUGAACUCGCUGUGAAGAUGCAGUGUACCCGCGGCAAGACGGAAAGACCCCGUGAACCUUUACUAUAGCUUGACACUGAACAUUGAGCCUUGAUGUGUAGGAUAGGUGGGAGGCUUUGAAGCGUGGACGCCAGUCUGCGUGGAGCCAACCUUGAAAUACCACCCUUUAAUGUUUGAUGUUCUAACGUUGGCCCCUUAUCGGGGUUGCGGACAGUGUCUGGUGGGUAGUUUGACUGGGGCGGUCUCCUCCCAAAGCGUAACGGAGGAGCACGAAGGUUAGCUAAUCCUGGUCGGACAUCAGGAGGUUAGUGCAAUGGCAUAAGCUAGCUUGACUGCGAGCGUGACGGCGCGAGCAGGUGCGAAAGCAGGUCAUAGUGAUCCGGUGGUUCUGAAUGGAAGGGCCAUCGCUCAACGGAUAAAAGGUACUCCGGGGAUAACAGGCUGAUACCGCCCAAGAGUUCAUAUCGACGGCGGUGUUUGGCACCUCGAUGUCGGCUCAUCACAUCCUGGGGCUGAAGUAGGUCCCAAGGGUAUGGCUGUUCGCCAUUUAAAGUGGUACGCGAGCUGGGUUUAGAACGUCGUGAGACAGUUCGGUCCCUAUCUGCCGUGGGCGCUGGAGAAUUGAGGGGGGCUGCUCCUAGUACGAGAGGACCGGAGUGGACGCAUCACUGGUGUUCGGGUUGUCAUGCCAAUGGCACUGCCCGGUAGCUAAAUGCGGAAGAGAUAAGUGCUGAAAGCAUCUAAGCACGAAACUUGCCCCGAGAUGAGUUCUCCCUGAGACUUUAAGUCUCCUGAAGGAACGUUAAAGACGAUGACGUUGAUAGGCCGGGUGUGUAAGCGCAGCGAUGCGUUGAGCUAACCGGUACUAAUGAACCGUGAGGCUUAACCUU